UGUGGAACCCUAAACGGCCGCGGCAAAACCCGUGCAAAGGUAGCACAAUCACUUGUCCCUUAAAUGAGGACCCGUAUGAAAGGCAACAUGAGAGAAAACCUGUCUCCUAAGGUCCGCCAAUGAAAUUGAACUGCCAGUACAAAAGCUGGUAUUCUAAAGCAAGACAAAAAGACCCCGUGGAACUUUUAAUGCUCUGUUAACACAACUUAACAAAAAUUUCAGUUGGGACAACUUUAGAAAAACAAAACUCCUAAAUACCCCAGACCAACAAGCCUAAACAUGUAAUUGACCCAGUCAGACUGAUUAACGAACCAAGCUACCCCGGGNAUAACAGCGCCACCUUCUCAAANAGUCCUUAUCAACAANAAGACCUACAACCUCNAUGUUGGAUCAGGGUACCCC
rnacentral:rRNA from 1 species